GUCAGCACCCCGCGCUAAAGCGACGGGGCAUCAUGCCUCUCCUUUAGGUAGCUGACCAGCCUAAGUCUUAGCUGACUACGUUAGAUAAGUCACGACACCCUAGAAUGCGUUGCUAGUUCUCGGCUCUGUCGUUAGCAAUUAAACAUCUUUACGAGGGGUAAGGAAGUGUUGUUAACAAAUACAAGCUUAUUUAACAUUGGCGAAGCUCACAUCAC
ncrna:Cyanothece sp. PCC 7822 HNH endonuclease-associated RNA and ORF (HEARO) RNA